rnacentral:rRNA from 1 species
AUGUAAUGCAAUUCCUACAGAAAUAAUGCGAUGGAUCCCAUUAGAGAUUCAUAGUUAAGCACGCUUGGGAUAGAGUAGUACUGGGAUGGGUGACCUACCAGGUAGUCCUAGUGUUUUACAUG